rnacentral:tRNA from 1 species
ACUCCCUUAGUAUAAACAGUACCAUUGACUUCCAAUCAAUAAGUCUCAAUAAAUUUGAGAGAGAGUA